rnacentral:rRNA from 1 species
GACGAACGCUGGCGGCGUGCUUAACACAUGCAAGUCGAACGGAAAGGCCCUGCUUUUGUGGGGUGCUCGAGUGGCGAACGGGUGUGUAACACGUGAGUAACCUGCCCUUGACUUUGGGAUAACUUCAGGAAACUGGGGCUAAUACCGGAUAGGAGCUCCUGCUGCAUGGUGGGGGUUGGAAAGUUUCGGCGGUUGGGGUUGGACUCGCGGCUUAUCAGCCUGUUGGUGGGGUAGUGGCUUACCAAGGCGUUGACGGGUAGGCGGCCUGAGAGGGUGACCGGCCACAUUACGACUGAGAUACGGCACAGACUCCUACGGGAGGCAGCAGUGGGGAAUAUUGCACAAUGGGCGGAAGCCUGAUGCAGCAACGCCGCGUGCGGGAUGACGGCCUGCGGGUUGUAAACCGCUUUCGCCUGUGACGAAGCGUGAGUGACGGUAAUGGGUAAAGAAGCACCGGCUAACUACGUG